GUUGCUCCUUCAUCCCUAGAUCUCUCAUGUUUUGCUCAAGACCGCGCAACAGUUCCAUAUGACACCGCAUCGCUGUCCUUGCCUAUCAUAUAUCUCAUGAAGUUCGACCAAUGGAUCUAAGGAAGAAGAAAAAGAUUGCAAGCAUGUGGAUCAUGUAAAGGAUAGGUCUGAACGUCGAUGCGCUGGUUAUGGUCAGGCUGUGCGGUCUUGAGCAAUAACGUUGAGACGGAUCUCUUAUUCAAGAUAUUUAU